AAAGUAUCAAAAUCGAUUGCCUCCCAUAAAGCCAAUUGUGUUUCCAUUGUGUUUGCAUUCAAAAAGUGAUUCGGCAUCAAUUAACUGAUCAAGGUCGAACACCAACACUUUUCCCCCAAGCAAGGGCAAUUACCUCACCUUACCAUGUGCACAAAAACCUUUGCUUCAUUUAAUUUUCAGCAUUGCAUUCAUUAAUUUUGCAUAAAGCAUCUACAUAAAGAAACUCAUAUCAUUAGUAGAGCAUAACCAUCAUCGAGUAGAAUAAAUAAGAAUAGCAUUCCGGUUAU
rnacentral:lncRNA from 1 species